rnacentral:rRNA from 1 species
CACGUAGGCACCAAGCGUUUGUCCGGAUUUAUUGGGCGUAAAGAGCUCGUAGGCGGUUCCGUAAGUCAGAUGUGAAAAACUCAGGGCUCAACCCGGAGACGCCAUCUGAUACUGCGGUGACUGGAGUCUGGUAGGGGAACACGGAAUUCCUGGUGUAGCGGUGAAAUGCGCAGAUAUCAGGAGGAACACCGAUGGCGAAGGCAGUGUUCUGGGCCAGUACUGACGCUGAGGAGCGAAAGCGUGGGGAGCAAACAGG